CCUACGGGAGGCAGCAGUGGGGAAUAUUGGACAAUGGGCGAAAGCCUGAUCCAGCAAUGCCGCGUGAGUGAUGAAGGCCUUAGGGUUGUAAAGCUCUUUUACCAGGGAUGAUAAUGACAGUACCUGGAGAAUAAGCUCCGGCUAACUCCGUGCCAGCAGCCGCGGUAAUACGGAGGGAGCUAGCGUUGUUCGGAAUUACUGGGCGUAAAGCGUGCGUAGGCGGUGAUUCAAGUCAGAGGUGAAAGCCUGGAGCUCAACUCCAGAACGGCCUUUGAAACUAGAUCGCUAGAAUUAUGGAGAGGUAAGUGGAAUUCCGAGUGUAGAGGUGAAAUUCGUAGAUAUUCGGAAGAACACCAGUGGCGAAGGCGACUUACUGGACAUAUAUUGACGCUGAGGUACGAAAGCGUGGGGAGCAAACAGGAUUAGAUACCCUGGUAGUCCACGCCGUAAACGAUGAUAACUAGCUGUUCGGGCUCUCAGAGCUUGAGUGGCGCAGCUACGACAUUAAGUUAUUCCGCCGUCGGGGUAGGUACGGUCGCGAAGAAUUAAAACGUUAAAAGGUAAAGUUAGUACGGACGUGAGACGUGCCGAACGGACGACGACGAGGGAGGUAGG
rnacentral:rRNA from 1 species